rnacentral:rRNA from 1 species
AGGAAUUCAAUGGCCGCAGUAUUUUAACUGUGCUAAGGUAGCAUAAUCAUUUGUCUUUUAAUUGAGGGCUGGAAUGAAAGGUUGGACGAAAUACUUACUUUCUUUAAUUUAAUUUUAAGAAUUUAAUUUUUGGGUUAAAAAGCUUAAAUUUAUUUGUUGGACGAGAAGACCCUAUAGAUCUUUAUAAUUUUAUAUUUAAAUAAUUUAGUGAUUAUAUUUAUUAUAAGUAAAAGGAUUAUUUUGUUGGGGUGACUGUAGAAUUUUAUAAACUUCUAUUAUUUUUAUUUCAUUGAUUAAUGUUUUUUUGAUCCAUAUAUUUAUGAUUAUAAGAUUAAGUUACCUUAGGGAUAACAGCGUAAUUUUUUCGGAGAGUUCAUAUUGAUGAAGAAGUUUGCGACCUCGAUGUUGGAUUAA